CAGCAGUCGCCGCGGGAAUACGUAGGUGGCAAGCGUUGUCCGGAAUUAUUGGGCGUAAAGGGCUCGCAGGCGGUUUCUUAAGUCUGAUGUGAAAGCCCCCGGCUCAACCGGGGAGGGUCAUUGGAAACUGGGAAACUUGAGUGCAGAAGAGGAGAGUGGAAUUCCACGUGUAGCGGUGAAAUGCGUAGAGAUGUGGAGGAACACCAGUGGCGAAGGCGACUCUCUGGUCUGUAACUGACGCUGAGGAGCGAAAGCGUGGGGAGCGAACAGGAUUAGAUACCCCUGUAGUCCCUGUCUCUUAUAC
rnacentral:rRNA from 1 species